rfam:[Eubacterium] angustum strain DSM 1989 ETAN_contig000003, whole genome shotgun sequence.
ACUAUCUUUAAUCUGGUCCAGAGAGGCUAGAAAGGUAUAAAUAGAAUCUUAUCUUUUAUUUAAGGUAAUAUGCCUUUCUGUGCCCGUGCCCAGGAAGGCUUUUUUUAU